ensembl:rRNA 5S_rRNA 5S ribosomal RNA
AUUUGCAGCUAGCUCUCUGCAACUCUCACAUGGUCGCCUACUGAAGCUAAGCAGGGCUGCGCCCGGUCAGUACAUGGAUGGGAGACCACAUGGGAAAGCUUGCUUGCUGCCAGAA